rnacentral:rRNA from 1 species
AACGAACGCUGGCGGCGUGCCUAACACAUGCAAGUCGAACGGAUUUGAGGGGCUUGCUCCUCAAGUUGGUGGCGCACGGGUGAGUAACGCGUGGAUAAUCUGCCUGAUGCUCUGGGAUAACAUCUCGAAAGGGGUGCUAAUACCGGAUAAGCCCACGGGGUCUUUGGAUCUUGCGGGAAAAGGAGGGGACCUUCGGGCCUUCCGACAUCAGAUGAGUCCGCGUCCCAUUAGCUAGUUGGUGGUGUAAUGGACCACCAAGGCGACGAUGGGUAGCUGGUCUGAGAGGAUGAUCAGCCACACUGGAACUGAGACACGGUCCAGACUCCUACGGGAGGCAGCAGUGGGGAAUUUUGCGCAAUGGGGGAAACCCUGACGCAGCAACGCCGCGUGAGUGAUGAAGGCCUUUGGGUCGUAAAGCUCUGUCAGAGGGAAAGAAAUGUGGGUGGCUAAUAACCAUUCCACUUGACGGUACCCUCAAAGGAAGCACCGGCUAACUCCGUGCCAGCCGCCGCCGUAACAC